rnacentral:lncRNA from 1 species
AUUUUACCUCUGUAGAAGAGUAAGCUGGAUGUAGCAUUGGGCAGCAUGAAGAAAACUGUUGAUAUUCUCUUUACAUUUGGCAUGACUUAAAAGCCACGUUCAUAACAGUAAUGCAGAUAUUGCAGGAAUAGCCCAACUGGCAGAUCUUCUUUUUCUAUAUGAUAUAAUUAUUUAUAGUGUAAAAUCCACUUUUCUUCAUCUACGCAGAAUGUUAUUGUAAUGUUUUUUGUUUUCUCUUCACUAGUGCAACAUGUGGGGAAAAAAAAAAAGCUUUACCCAGACCCUUCUCUGUGCAGUCUGAGAAAGUGAGCUACAGAUGGAUUCCAAAGGCAUCGUUUCUCGUGGAUCAUUCUUCACUGCUCAGGUUUGUCAAACAGCUCAUCUCCUGCAGAAUGUUGGGCCAAAACCUGUGAAGGCUGAAUUCUUGAACUUGUGAACUCAAUGACUGGUGCUGUGAUCUGCAGUAUUGUACCGUGACCAUCUGAGACUUCAGAGCUGACCUAGGUGUGUGACAUACAGGAGAGCUGCUCCCGAGGGAACAACAGGUGAUCUUUUUGUCAUAUGCAGAAAAUUGCCUGAGCAGCAGCUGCAAGAGGAAAGGAGAGUCUGGAAAGCUUUACUCCCUUGAUUUUGCUUCCAGGCUAUGACAGCUUUGUGCAAGACCGCUGUCUUCCUCUAUGCCUGCAGAUAGCCCAGAGCUGUUUCUAGUAAACCUACUGCAAACUAUGCUUAAGAAUCUCUGAGUUAUGCCUUUCUUAAAAGUGGUGCUGCAUGUUUUGUUGAGUUAGAAGUGUUUAGGUAGCUAAUGUGAUUCCGAUAAAUAUUAAGG